GGAGCAACCCCAUUCCCUCCUUCAGCAGGCAAGACAGGGAGCACAGUCACACUUCCUGUCUCCAAGUCAACAAUCAUAGGAGCAGAUGAAAGGGGGCACACCAAGCAAAUAGAUGGAGUAGUGGACCUAGGAUAUAGGCGAGCUUGUAAAGGGGUUUGCUGUAGAGUGAUCCGAGUAAUCUUCUCUCCUCUGACAACAUCCCAGAGUGACAAGGACUUAUCAGCAGCGGAGA
rnacentral:misc_RNA from 1 species